GUGAAGGUAACCCUACGCUGUAAUGUAGACAAUGCACUUGCUCUGUUUACAGCAAAAAGACUGAAAGGAAUUAUUAUACUCACCAGAACAAAUACAAUAACCUUAGCCAGUCUUGUGACUAUAGUGUCCCUUUAACCACCAAGUUAUUAUGUGAUCUCCAAAAAGAUGUAAGUAUUUGAAAGGGCUUAAGAUUAGAAUAGAG